AUCUCAUCUUUUGGAACAUUAGUGGAAACAUUCUUGUCAUCUUUGCAUGUGGAUGUAGGCAUAGUCUGAACGACACAAGUUCUUUUAAUUUUUUUCUUCUCUCUUUUUACAUUUGUUAUUCAGAUUAUUUUCACUGUACAUUAGCCUCUGCUCAGGUUUGAAGGGAUGUUGGCGUGUGAGAGAGAUAUCCAUAUGCUGGUAAUGUAGAUAAGAAUUUGGCUCAUCGAGCCCAUACGAUGCUGAAUAUCUCAAAUUGUAUAAGCAUUGAUCCAAAAUAUUGGAGACUUGUAAAGAAAUAUAGUAAGCUAGUAGCAAAACCUUGGGCAUGUUCUUGAGCAAUAAGGGCCCAUAGUCAUAAUGACUAAUUGUUUCAAUAAGCAGGCGACCUGCCAAUACUUCGAAAGAUCUUAACGUACAUAAUGUUGUUACGGGUGAAGUUGCUUUAAAAUGAUUUUAAGGGUGUAGAUAAAACUGAGGCAUCUAUGUGGCUGCGCAGGACUUGAGUCAGAGUAAAAUAGGCGGAGAAUCCUCUUCUGAGCCUUUCCUAUUCGUUGAGGGAUAUGGCCAUUACAUGAGCCAUCAAGAGAUGCAGGGCGAGCCACUUGAAGAGAUGGUAGGAAAAUUGCUGGAAGUUGACCCGUUAGCUGCUGCUCAGCUGCUGGAGAACAAGGGUCUAUUCGUGAUGCCCAUGGAUUUUGUUGAAGGAUUAUGCUGAACCAUUUAAUCAACCAUGGAGCUUCCUGUAUGAAACAGUUCUCUCUCGGUUAAUGCUUCUGCUUUAUUAAGUACCUACGGCUUGUUAAUCACCUCACUUGAAAGUAAAGAUACCUGGGUAACACUGAAAAAUGAUAGUUUUGUUUGUCCGUAGCAUCAUUCCAUUUUGGGAAAAAAAAAUCUCACAAGAUAUAGUUAA